rnacentral:rRNA from 1 species
AUUGAACGCUGGCGGCAGGCCUAACACAUGCAAGUCGAACGAGAGGCGGACGGGUGAGUAAUGUCUGGGAAACUGCCUGAUAGAGGGGGAUAACUACUGGAAACGGUAGCUAAUACCGCAUACUAUCAGAUGUGCCCAUAUGGGAUUAGCUAGUUGGUGGGGUAACGGCUCACCAAGGCGACGAUCCCUAGCUGGUCUGAGAGGAGGACCAGCCACACGGGGACUGAGACACGGCCCAGACUCCUACGGGAGGCAGCAGUGGGUAAUAUUGGACAAUGGGCGCAAGCCUGAUGAAGCCAUGCCGCGUGUAUGAAGAAGGCUUUCGGUUUGUAAAGUACUUUCAGCGGGGAGGCGUUACCCGCAGAAGAAGCACCGGCUAACUCCGUGCCAGCAGCCGCGGUAAUAC